UCCUGUAUUUUUUGUGAAUUAUGCCAGAGCUUUUGUUUUUUAUGUAUCGAUAAACUGGUCGGACGACCACACAAGCCGUUGCAGUUGCAGUUCAGUGGAUAUACGACCGCAAGCCGAUGACACGCCCCCAAUUCACUGCACACGAUUCGGGAAAAGCAAAAACAAUUCGUAAUUUAUACACUGCAUCCAGUGAAAAUUGGACUGAAAGAAAGGGGUGUCUGCUAGUCGCUAUUGUUGAUUCUCAUUCAUCUGUUGCUUUGACUGGAGAUGGGAGAUGGGAGCACAGUGUGGACAGUUGUUGGUGGUUUUGGUCUGACUGGCGCUAAUCGGGCAUUAUGCCACAAGACAAUUAUGCAACAGUGUGGCAAGCUGCAUACUGCAACUGCAACUGCAACUGCAACAUUUCUAAGUCGCCAUUUAAGCGAUUUUCAUGCGCAAUAAAAAUUUAGUCAGCUGUAAACAUUUUAUGAGUUUGUGUGGCAGGACAGAGAAAAUGAAAGGAGAAGGGGAAAAGUGAGGGAGGAGGAGAAAUGCGGAAAGCGGAAGUCAGGCAGACUGUACGCACAGUAUUUAUUUAUUUUAAUCGGCAA